GAGCACAAGCUUCACCUGACUAAAACCCUAAAAGGGAAACCCGGGUCUCGUCGGGACGAACUGGAAGGGUUUUAGAGUAGCAGAAGCUAGAGUACAUAGAGCAGAAAUAUUUCGUCUCUGAAAAUUGUGGUGAUUGGGUUUAAACUAGAGCUGUAAAUGGAGAGAUUGAAAGUAUGAGAUGCUAAUUUAGUUCUCUGCUUUUCAAAUUUAGUGAAAUAUUUGAUGGUGUUGUGCUGGCUUACGAUGUCAACAUUCUGGAUGAAAGUGCAAAAAUCCUUUCUGGGAUUCAUCCGUAUUUUGGUGUGAGGCUAAAAUCAAAGCUCUUACUUUUUUCUCCAAAACCAAAUAUGCUAUUAGAAGGAAAAGUAGUGAGGCUUACACAAGAGUCCAUUCAUGUUAUUGUUCUUGGGUUUUCGUCUGCUACUAUAGUAGAUGAUGACAUAUGAGAUGAGUUCUACUAUAAAAUUGUAUGUACUACAUAUUAUUUUGUUUUGGUGUUCUUGGCAUUCUCUCCCUUAUUUCUCUGGAUUGAUUUUACAACUGUUUCUGUGGAAAGUCAAUAAAGAUUACUCACAAAACUUCCUUAUUUCAAACUUAGAAACAUGGUGAAGAAGUUUUUGCUAGCAGAUCCCAUAAGCAGCAUGUGAUAACGGUUGGAACCAUGAUACGAUUUCUGGUCAAGAGUUUUGAUGAGGAAAUCCUUCACAUCUUUGGAUCCUUAAGUCCAGCUCAAACAGUUAGCAUCCGUUGGUUGGAUAGGAAAUCAGAAGAUGUUUCAGUUGAUAGGUUUAAACUUAUCUUGGACUCCUAGCACCUUGAAGUUUUAAAACCUGCAAAACCUUGAUCCUAGUACACCUGCUUAUGACUAUAAUUGCUAUAUGAUUAUGUAGGAGUACUAGGAAGAGGAGGGAGGGUUUGGAGAUAACAGAAAUGCUGGACAAUGGGAUCAUUGGCGAUAGAGCAUCUUCAUUGAGCAACGACCAUUGGAUGAAGAAGUCAAAGAAGCAUAGAUAAGCCGAAGAUCAUUAGAAUUUGCUGUGGAUUUCUCAUUUGUGUCUGAAAGCUUUGUACUAGUAUAAACUCAGACUUCAUAGCCAAUUAGCCAUGUUUACUACCACCUGGUGGGUUCAAUAUGAUGAUCUCUGGAUUUCGAUUGGGCGAUUCUCCUCUUUUUGUGGAUGUAGUAACACAUGUAGAUUUCAAUUGGUCUAUUCAUAGGACUGAUGACUUCACAUGUGAAAUCCUUAUUCUAUUAUCACAUUCAUUUCUGAGAACCCUGCAAACAAAGAAGGAGAAUAAGGCUUAGCAAAAGAUAAUGGGCUCAGAGUUGCUGGAGCUUAACUCAAAACUUGGGCUUAAUCACAUUAUGUAAAGUCAAAGUAAAAGUCUGAACACGCUGCUUUGAUUGUGUGAAAUAGGUUUCUUUUGUUCAAGAUAAUUUAAGUCUAAACAUAUGAAUUGGCUUGUCUAUUUUCCUAUUUGCAAGACUAAUUACGCCCUAUGAGCUCUUUUUUAUUUGAAAAACAUCAAAAUGAGUCCCCAGAUUUGUUCUUUCGAUACCA